rnacentral:rRNA from 1 species
CCUACGGGGGGCUGCAGUCGAGAAUCUUCGGCAAUGGGCGCAAGCCUGACCGAGCGACGCCGCGUGCGGGAUGAAGGCCUUCGGGUUGUAAACCGCUGUCAGAGGGGAGGAAAUGCAUGGGAGUUCUCUCUCGUGUUUGACCUAUCCUCAGAGGAAGUACGGGCUAAGUUCGUGCCAGCAGCCGCGGUAAUCCGAACCGUACGAACGUUAUUCGGAUUCACUGGGCUUAAAGCGUGCGUAGGCGGCUGGGGAAAUCCCUCGGCUCAACCGAGGAAUUGCGCCCAAAACUACCUGGCUUGAGGAAGAUAGAGGUAAGCGGAACUAAUGGUGGAGCGGUGAAAUGCGUUGAUAUCAUUAGGAACACCUGUGGCGAAAGCAGCUUACUGGGUCUUAUCUGACGCUGAGGCACGAAAGCUAGGGGAGCGAACGGGAUUAGAUACCCGUGUAGUC